rnacentral:lncRNA from 1 species
AUUUGUUUUAGAUUCAUGGCAUCUGUGGAAAACUAUAUAUAAAAUGAAGAUGACAGUGUUGGCACUUCGACUCUGCAUCAACAUAUGUCCUGAGUGUUCUCCAGACUGUCCCAGGGGAGGUGGAUUUGUGCUCCCGGAAAAGCCUGUAUAUGUGGGAAGUUCCUUUGAUGACCCGGGAACGGCCAAGAGAGCUCCGGCAACUAGUUCAUACAACGGGAACUGUGCUUGGAUCCAAAAUGUCCUUCAGCAGAUAUAAAUAACUCAUUUUCCUCAAACUCUUCCUGUUACUCUAAAGGGUAAGUUUUUUUUCAAGGAUCUUCCUCUAUUAUAUUAAGAAUUACCAAAGUUCUGUAUUUAACUCUUGUAAAGUGUAGUUGCAUAUUCCUUUUGAGAGGUAUUACAGCUGUCUUUAGAAGGAAUAUUUAACCAAUUAAUUCAGCAACUACUUAACUAUUGAUUUUUUGCACGUUAGCUAAUUAAUCUGUCUUCUGAUUAGCAAAUCUAUCACUUUCUGAGCUACUACUUCCAGUUUCUACUUCUAGCUAAAUAAGUAUAAAAUAGGAAAGAAAAAAUCCCCAAUUAAAAUAUGAGACCCUAUUAACAUUUCAG